rnacentral:rRNA from 1 species
GGAGUUUGGACCGUCUCUCAGUUCCAAUGUGGCCGAUCACCCUCUCAGGUCGGCUACUGAUCGUUGACUUGGUGGGCCGUUACCUCACCAACUAUCUAAUCAGACGCGAACUCACCCCGGACCGGAUUCCUCCUUUGACCCCUUCGCCAUGUGACGUUGUGGUCUCAUGCGGUAUUAGCACCUGUUUCCAAGUGUUAUCCCCCUGUCCGGGACAGAUUGUUCACGCGUUACUCACCCGUCCGCCGCUAGAAUAUAUCCCCUUCCGGCCGAAGCUUUCCAGCAAUAUAUCCCCGCUCGACUUGCAUGUGUUAGGCACGCCGCCAGCGUUCGUCCUCGAGCCACUGAUCAAACUACU